rfam:Yokenella regensburgei ATCC 43003 genomic scaffold Scfld157, whole genome shotgun sequence.
GUUGUAUUUACACGACAGCAAUAAUGUGCUGCCACUACGAUGGCAGUGUUCAGGAAUGAAUAUUAUUAACGGGUGUGAAUAUGACUAAUAAUCAUAGCGAUAUGAAAUACUGGUCGUGGAUGGUUGCCUUCCUGCUGUCAAUUCUCUUCUGGAGCGAACUGGCACAUCUCUUCAUCAGUUAAUCGAUCGUCAAACCCGGCCCGUGCGUCGGGUUUUGUUUUUAC